UCUUCUUUCAUUGUUCUUCUUUAUUCUUCUUUCCUCUGCCUGCUCCUCCCCUGUUCAUCUUCUGCUGAAAUUUGAGAGAGCAAAUCAGUGUUUCUUCAUUCGGUAAAAGGUGGGAAAUAUUAAGGAAUAACUGUUGGUGGUGGUUUCAUUUGAGUAGUCACUUUAGAUUUACCAGAAAAGUAAAUCAGGCGGAGUCGGAUUAGGUUUUAGAUUUGAUUUGGAGUUUGUAUCCGAUCGACAAGCAAAUCGAGUUGUUGGAAGAUGAAGAAUGAUUGGGUCAGUGUUUAAUUUGAUGAUGGAUAACUAUUCAGUGAAGAAUUGAAGAACUAGGGUUUCUUAUGAUGGAAUCAGAUAAGAUGUGGAAGAUCAAAUUGAGAGUCUAGAAGAUUGAAUUGAGAUGGGUUUCACUCGAAUUAGGAUAUAGGGUUGCGAAUUUAAAGCUGAGACUGAUAAUUAGAAGUUAUGAUGAAUCUAGGGUUUGUUCUGCUAAUAAGAGGAUUAAGGAGAUGUUGUCGAUGUUGAGUUGGUUGUGAUAUAGGAAACGCAUGGGGUCAAGAGAAACUGCUUCAAUAUAGAAGUUCGAUUUAAGGUAAACCUUUCUCUACUUGGCUGAAGUCUGUUACGUUUCGUUGGUAUGUGAUUGUGUUACUAUCAGUGGAGUUGUAAGAUAAUAUUGUUUGUUCUGGAGGUUAUUUUAGGGGUUCUCUGCGAACUGGUGGUGAUGUUGAAAUUGCAUGGGGUACGAGUUCCUGGUAGAUGUUUAGAAACUUCAAAUGUGGUGUUGGAAUUGAUAUAAAAGGAGUUGAAAUUGUAGAAAAGGGAAGUGGAGGUUAAAAUGGAAUUCAGGAGAUGAAUGAGGUUGUUGUGAUAAAUAUGCGGAUGAUAUAAAAUGGUUAAGUUGAUCUAUGGUGAUUUAAUGUGAUGAAUGGAGUACAUGUUGAUAUUCAGUUUGAUUGUAUAUAGCCGCUGGUUUUGAAAUGAGGAUAGAAUGUGUUGUAGAAUGGUGACUGGUGGUGUUGCUGUUCAUGGGGUUAAAGGUAAACGAUGAAGGUAUCUCUUGAGUUGAGUUUAUUGAAUGUAUGUUAUGGUGAUGGUGUUGCUGUAUUUUGGUUGAUUGUGCAAUCCAGGGAAGAGCUCAUAGUGGUUUUAGGAUUGAUUGUGUUGAUCUAAGACUUAAAAGAAUGGUAAUGGUGGUAAGUUAGUGUGGUACAGUUGAACUGGAUUGUGUAUGUUUGAACUGGUAUUGGUGUUGGGAGAUGUUGGUAAAUUGCAGGAAGAAUUGUUGAGCUGAACUCAGUUGAAGUAGUCUGUAAAUUGUGUAAACUCUUGGAGUUGGUUUGUGCUCUUAAGAUGUAUAGGCCGAGUUGGUUGUAUGCUGUCAUAGCAAAGGGUUUAGCAAAAGCUUGCAAUUUCCGAUUAAGGUAAAUAGAUUUUGUAACUGUAAUUGUGUUAUCUAGUUAUUUGAGUUGACUUGGAUGUGAAUUGAUUUGGUAGUUGAUGGUGGAGAUGUAGAGUGAAGCUACAUUGGUGGUUAUGAAUCUUUUGUUUGUGUAGAAGAGUAGGUUAGUAUGAAUGUUGUGAAUGGAACAAGAAUUGCAGGCGAGAAAGGGUGGAUGAUGGGAGUUGUAGGACUGUAAUUAGUGCUUGCAGUGAAAGCUUGCAACUUCUGCUGUUGCAGUUAUUAACAACGAUCGAUUCAAAGGACGAACCAAUGAAUCGUGGAUCUCGAGGUAGGCGUGGCUUGUCAUCAAAAGAGUUUCAGAGACAGAUCAAAGUUGCGCAUCGGAAGCUUCGAAGAGUUGAUUUCAUUAGUUGGAUAACUUCUACUAUGUUUAUUAUAUUGCAUACUGUAUCUGUAAACCUAAUGACUAUUGUAUAUGUAUCAUUUGAGAGGACUUCUUGUAUAUAUAUGUUUCAGAGCGGGUUAGUUUUGGGUUAAGUUUUGUAGCACAUUUCUUAAUUGAAUGAUUAAGUAUAUGAUUUAGAUUUCUAGUGCUUCUA